rnacentral:rRNA from 1 species
UGAGAAAUCUUGCGCAAUCGGGGAAACCCUGACGCAGCAACGCCGCGUGAGUGAGGAAGGUCUUCGGGUCGUAAAGCUCUGUCAGGCGGGAAGAAAUGCAUGGAGGUGAACAGCCGCCAUGCUUGACGGUACCGCCAGAGGAAGCACCGGCUAACUCCGUGCCAGCAGCCGCGGUAAUACGGGGGGUGCAAGCGUUGUUCGGAAUCAUUGGGCGUAAAGAGCGUGUAGGCGGCUUGGUAAGUCAGAUGUGAAAGCCCUGGGCUCAAACCGGGAAGUGCAUUUGAAACUGCCAGGCUCGAGUAGGGGAGAGGGAAGUGGAAUUCCUGGUGUAGAGGUGAAAUUCGUAGAUAUCAGGAGGAACACCGGUGGCGAAGGCGACUUCCUGGCCCUAUACUGACGCUGAGACGCGAGAGCGUGGGUAGCAAACAG